rnacentral:rRNA from 1 species
GAUGAACGCUGGCGGCGUGCCUAAUACAUGCAAGUCGAGCGAACGGACGAGAAGCUUGCUUCUCUGAUGUUAGCGGCGGACGGGUGAGUAACACGUGGAUAACCUACCUAUAAGACUGGGAUAACUUCGGGAAACCGGAGCUAAUACCGGAUAAUAUUUUGAACCGCAUGGUUCAAAAGUGAAAGACGGUCUUGCUGUCACUUAUAGAUGUAUCCGCGCUGCAUUAGCUAGUUGGUAAGGUAACGGCUUACCAAGGCAACGAUGCAUAGCCGACCUGAGAGGGUGAUCGGCCACACUGGAACUGAGACACGGUCCAGACUCCUACGGGAUGCAGCAGUAGGGAAUCUUCCGCAAUGGGAGAAAGCCUGACGGAGCAAAGCAGCGUGAGUGAUGAAGGUCUUCGGAUCGUAAAGCUCUGUUAUUAGGGAAGAACAUAUGUGUAAGUAACUGUGCACAUCUUGACGGUACCUAAUCAGAAAGCCACGGCUAACUACGUG